GGUGUGACUGCGUACCUUUUGUAUAAUGGGUCAGCGACUUAUAUUCUGUAGCAAGGUUAACCGAAUAGGGGAGCCGGAGGGAAACCGAGUCUUAACCGGGCGUUAAGUUGCAGGGUAUAGACCCGAAACCCGGUGAUCUAGCCAUGGGCAGGUUGAAGGUUGGGUAACACUAACUGGAGGACCGAACCGACUAAUGUUGAAAAAUUAGCGGAUGACCUGUGGCUGGGGGUGAAAGGCCAAUCAAACCGGGAGAUAGCUGGUUCUCCCCGAAAGCUAUUUAGGUAGCGCCUCGUGAAUUCAUCUCCGGGGGUAGAGCACUGUUUCGGCUAGGGGGCCAUCCCGGCUUACCAACCCGAUGCAAACUGCGAAUACCGGAGAAUGUUAUCACGGGAGACACACGGCGGGUGCUAACGUCCGUCGUGAAGAGGGAAACAACCCAGACCGCCAGCUAAGGUCCCAAAGUCAUGGUUAAGUGGGAAACGAUGUGGGAAGGCCCAGACAGCCAGGAUGUUGGCUUAGAAGCAGCCAUCAUUUAAAGAAAGCGUAAUAGCUCACUGGUCGAGUCGGCCUGCGCGGAAGAUGUAACGGGGCUAAACCAUGCACCGAAGCUGCGGCAGCGACGCUGAUGCGUUGUUGGGUAGGGGAGCGUUCUGUAAGCCUGCGAAGGUGGCCUGUGAGGGUUGCUGGAGGUAUCAGAAGUGCGAAUGCUGACAUAAGUAACGAUAAAGCGGGUGAAAAGCCCGCUCGCCGGAAGACCAAGGGUUCCUGUCCAACGUUAAUCGGGGCAGGGUGAGUCGACCCCUAAGGCGAGGCCGAAAGGCGUAGUCGAUGGGAAACGGGUUAAUAUUCCCGUACUUGGUGUUACUGCGAAGGGGGGACGGAGAAGGCUAUGUUGGCCGGGCGACGGUUGUCCCGGUUUAAGCGUGUAGGUGUGUGUUCCAGGUAAAUCCGGUU
rnacentral:rRNA from 1 species